UCUCAGUAGGUGAACCUGCGGAGGGAUCAUUACUGAGUGAGUGUCUCCGGGCCCGACCUCCAACCCUUUGUGAACCAAACUUGUUGCUUCGGGGGCGACCCUUCCGACGACUCCGUCGCCGGGCGCCCCCGGAGGUCUUCUAAACACUGCAUCUUUGCGUCGGAGUUUAAACAAAUUAAACAAAACUUUCAACAUCGGAUCUCUUGUUUCUGGCAUCGAUGAAGAACGCAGC
rnacentral:misc_RNA from 1 species